rnacentral:rRNA from 1 species
GACGAACGCUGGCGGCGUGCUUAACACAUGCAAGUCGACGACGCUACUGAGUAGCAAUAUUUAGUAGUGGAGUGGCGCCAGGGUGAGUAAUGUAUACGUAACCAACCCAUCGGAGACGGAUAACAUUUCGAAAGGGAUGCUAAAACGGCAUGAAGCCACGAUUUCGCAUGAGAUUGUGGUUAAAGAACCGGUAACAGGUUGCCGAUGGCUGGGCGUAUAUACGAUGAGCUAGGUGUAGUGUAAUGGACUACCAAGGCGACGAUCGGUAGCUGGUCGGAGAGGAGGAUCAGCCAGACUGUGACCGGGACCCGGGCCAGACUGCUACGGGAGGCAGCAGUGGGGAAGACUGGGGAAGGCCCGCAAGGGUGACCCAGCAACGCCGCGUGGAGGAUGAAGGCCGUCAGGUUGUAAACUCUGACAAGCAGGGAAGAACGGCUAUGGUAAAAGGCCAUAGAGUGACGGUACCGGCCUGAAGCCCCGGCUAACUACGUG